UACGGAGGGGGCUAGCGUUGUUCGGAAUUACUGGGCGUAAAGCGCACGUAGGCGGCUUUGUAAGUUAGAGGUGAAAGCCCGGAGCUCAACUCCGGAACUGCCUUUAAGACUGCAUCGCUUGAACGUCGGAGAGGUAAGUGGAAUUCCGAGUGUAGAGGUGAAAUUCGUAGAUAUUCGGAAGAACACCAGUGGCGAAGGCGGCCACCUGGGCUGUACCUGACGCUCAAACACGAAAGCUAGGGGAGCGAACGGG
rnacentral:rRNA from 1 species